UCUAAUGUGGCAGAUUAGUGCAGUGGCCUUAAACCCCAUGAAUAAAAAUUCCUAUUUUUCUUUAGAA
rnacentral:tRNA from 1 species